GAUGAACGCUGGCGGCGUGCCUAAUACAUGCAAGUCGAGCGAACGGACGAGAAGCUUGCUUCUCUGAUGUUAGCGGCGGACGGGUGAGUAACACGUGGAUAACCUACCUAUAAGACUGGGAUAACUUCGGGAAACCGGAGCUAAUACCGGAUAAUAUUUUGAACCGCAUGGUUCAAAAGUGAAAGGCGGUCUUGCUGUCACUUAUAGAUGGAUCCGCGCUGCAUUAGCUAGUUGGUAAGGUAACGGCUUACCAAGGCAACGAUGCAUAGCCGACCUGAGAGGGUGAUCGGCCACACUGGAACUGGGACACGGUCCCGACUCCUACGGGAGGCAGCAGUAGGGAAUCUUCCGCAAUGGGCGAAAGCCUGACGGAGCAACGCCGCGUUAGUGAUGAAGGUCUUCGGAUCGUAAAACUCUGUUAUUAGGGAAGAACAUAUGUGUAAGUAACUGUGCACAUCUUGACGGUACCUAAUCAGAAAGCCACGGCUAACUACGUG
rnacentral:rRNA from 1 species